rnacentral:rRNA from 1 species
ACGCUCGACACCUACGGGAGGUAGCAGUGAGGAAUAUUGGUCAAUGGACGCAAGUCUGAACCAGCCAUGCCGCGUGCAGGAUGACGGCUCUAUGAGUUGUAAACUGCUUUUGUACGAGGGUAAACGCAGAUACGUGUAUCUGUCUGAAAGUAUCGUACGAAUAAGGAUCGGCUAACUCCGUGCCAGCAGCCACGGUAAUCUGAGCGGGCUGGCAAGGC